GACGAACGCUGGCGGCGUGCCUAAUACAUGCAAGUAGGACGCAGUUGCGAACGGGUGAGUAACGCGUAGGUAACUGCCUCUUAGAGGGGGCUAACUAUUGGAAACGAUAGCUAAUACCGCCUACUAGUAGAUGGACCUGCGUUGUCUUAGCUAGUAGGUAGGGUAAUGGCCUACCUAGGCAACGAUAAAUAGCCGACCUGAGAGGGGGAUCGGCCACACGGGGACUGAGACACGGCCCAGACUCCUACGGGAGGAAGCAGUAGGGAAUCUUCGGCAAUGGGGGGAACCCUGACCGAGCAACGCCGCGGGAGUGAAGAAGGUUUUCGGAUCGUAAAGCUCUGUUGUUAAGGAAGCGGUACUUAACCAGAAAGGGACGGCUAACUACGUGCCAGCAGCCGCGGUAAUAC
rnacentral:rRNA from 1 species